GAUGAACGCUGGCGGCGUGCCUAAUACAUGCAAGUCGAGCGAACAGACGAGGAGCUUGCUCCUCUGACGUUAGCGGCGGACGGGUGAGUAACACGUGGAUAACCUACCUAUAAGACUGGGAUAACUUCGGGAAACCGGAGCUAAUACCGGAUAAUAUAUUGAACCGCAUGGUUCAAUAGUGAAAGACGGUUUUGCUGUCACUUAUAGAUGGAUCCGCGCCGCAUUAGCUAGUUGGUAAGGUAACGGCUUACCAGGGCAACGAUGCGUAGCCGACCUGAGAGGGUGAUCGGCCACACUGGAACUGAGACACGGUCCAGACUCCUACGGGAGGCAGCAGUAGGGAAUCUUCCGCAAUGGGCGAAAGCCUGACGGAGCAACGCCGCGUGAGUGAUGAAGGUCUUCUGAUCGUAAAACUCUGUUAUUAGGGAAGAACAAAUGUGUAAGUAACUAUGCACGUCUUGACGGUACCUAAUCAGAAAGCCACGGCUAACUACGUG
rnacentral:rRNA from 1 species